GUGAAGCCCUUGGGACUUCCUUGGUACAUGGUGAGGGCUGGAGAACCCCAGCCUCUAUGGGCAGCUCCUAAACAUCAAUAGUUCUGUCUGCUACCAUGGUCCUUGUUGUGCCCCCACUUUCUUUUCUGCAAGGAGGAAACCUCUCCUGCAAGGCCUGAGCCUUGCAGACACCUCCCCUGUGGGAAACAGGAGCAAAUCCCACAUGCCAGGCAGGAUGCAGCUGCACAGGAGAUGGACAGUGUGGGACAAAAGUGUUGCUCUCCAUCAGAAAUCAAUAAUUUCUUAAAAAUACCAUUAAAAAAAGACAAAAGAAGCGUCGAGAGCAUGAAACUUGGAUCUUAAUUUUGUCCUAACCUUUACAAAAUGGAUUGAAUAACUCCUGCAGCUACAUAGGAGUGAAAUCAGGCUGAUAGCUGCUGAAUUGCUCCAGAAGGACUGGCCUCUCCCUGCAUUCCCAGACUGGUCUGUCCUUGGUUCUAUGGUCUGCUCCCAGCCUUGCCUUUGUGUUUUGGUGCUAUUUCCAUCCUGGAAGAAGCCACACAGUGCUUCUGGCCCUGUUAAAUGGCUACAGCACAUUUUGCUGUAAUAAACUGGUACAUCAGUAGUGGUGGAGAGGCUGAUUUAAGUGCCUUUGCAGGAAAAGAAAAAAGAAUUGCUUUUGUUGGUUCUGUUAUUUUUGUUCUUUUUAAAGGAGGGAAAUGAAAUACAAACACAAUAGAAAUUUGAAAUACAAAUACAGUUUACAAAGGGAGAAUGUGUAUUUGUUCAGCAGCUUUCUUAGUUCUUCUUUGCGCUGUUUAGCCCCCCACAAGCAGCCUGUCCCAGCCUGUGAGAGUGCUGACCAAGGCUGUUUUAAUAGCAGGAGAUGAGAGGCUUGAGACACAAGUGCUUUAAUACAUAAAAGGAGGAGGUCCAGUUGGAAACACCUGGGAAAGAGCAUUUGUGCAAGUUUUUGGGCAGAACAGCCUGUACCUGGGAAGGGAACAGAGGUAGCCGUGCUGGGGAUGGCUCUGGGGAUGCAUCAGCUCCAGCUCAGGCUCUGGUUUCUCAGCCCUCCUUCAAGGUUCUCCCAGGGAUUUCCCUGACUCCUCUGCAUUGGAGUUUCUCUGCAUAGUUUAACUGCUCUAACAUUUUCUGUAUAAAGAGUCAAGCUCUGUGUGUGAUCCUCUAAAUCAUUAAAAAUGGGUCAGUGAGCAGUUUAGCAGGAGCACGAACUGGAAUCUCCCUGUUUUCUGUUUAUCAUCAUUCAUCUCCACCUGCUUGCCUUCAGAAAAAAGGGCUCUGAGUAACCCUCUGAGCUGUUACUGCUGUUGUACUGAAACCUGCUGUG